rnacentral:rRNA from 1 species
GACGAACGCUGGCGGCGUGCCUAAUACAUGCAAGUUGAGCGCUGAAGGUUGGUACUUGUACCGACUGGAUGAGCAGCGAACGGGUGAGUAACGCGUGGGGAAUCUGCCUUUGAGCGGGGGACAACAUUUGGAAACGAAUGCUAAUACCGCAUAAAAACUUUAAACACAAGUUUUAAGUUUGAAAGAUGCAAUUGCAUCACUCAAAGAUGAUCCCGCGUUGUAUUAGCUAGUUGGUGAGGUAAAGGCUCACCAAGGCGAUGAUACAUAGCCGACCUGAGAGGGUGAUCGGCCACAUUGGGACUGAGACACGGCCCAAACGCCUACGGGAGGCAGCAGUAGGGAAUCUUCGGCAAUGGACGAAAGUCUGACCGAGCAACGCCGCGUGAGUGAAGAAGGUUUUCGGAUCGUAAAACUCUGUUGGUAGAGAAGAAUGUUGGUGAGAGUGGAAAGCUCAUCAAGUGACGGUAACUACCCAGAAAGGGACGGCUAACUACGUG